rnacentral:lncRNA from 1 species
GGGUCUCAGGGGGGACAACUGCAAACAACAAUCCCGGAGGCCAGAACGUGCAAGACACUGUACGUCCGGGUGUAUUGGGACCAUGUUUCUCACUGAGCAAGGGCUAUUCUUUUAUAGAGUAAUGCCCUUUUGGCCGGGAGCCACCUACUGACUUUCCUUGAUAGGAGGCUGGUGAACAUGGUCUUUUCCGACCGGAAGUGGAAGUUUACAUCGACAAGAUCGCAUCAACCUUCGAUCAACUCAAAAAGUAUUGGUCUAGCCCUUGACUCUACUUCUGAAAAAAUCCGACACUGAGUCCGGUAACAAGGCAAGGGUUAUACGUCUUUAGUUGCGCGGGUAAGGUCAAGUUGUACCCGUUCGUGUUGAUGAAGCUCCUAAACCCCGUUAAGGUUACACCUCCAGCUCAUAAAGAAAAAGAGCUCAAACUCCAAUUCAAUAUGUAACCUUAGCAGCGAAAGAAGCCCGGUUUACCAGUUCUUAAGAAAAGAUCUUUCCUCCGGUAGACUCAUUUCAUGCCAAAAUCUCUUGCCUUCCUUCCGGAGCAGCUGAAGCUAAAUCCGCUUCUUGUUCUUUAUGAGCUACUCCCCCAAGGGAAUGAAUUUCCUCUAAAAUGCGCUUCUCCUCUUAGUGACUUAAUAGAAAGAAUGUCUUAUACCUUUACGCGGCUACUGCCUUUAUCAACGGCUGUUGGCUGAUUAAGGCGGUCGUUAAGAUGCUAUUUCUGUACUUACAUCUGUAACUACUAAAAGAAACUCAAGACCAAAGGCAAGAGGAAACUCAAGAGAUUGCUUUGAAGUAAGAUCCUUGCCUUGACCUUUUCCUGAACCAGAACCGGAUGUAACUACAUAUGAAUAGUCUUUUUUCUUCCCCUAAGGUAAGGUCGCCUGCCUGGACUCCCAAAGCAAAGGUAUUAAGGCGGUUCCGAUUAGCAAUUUCAUAUUCUGCGGCUAGAGCUCCUGAGUCUUUUCCUUUGUUGUCUUAUGAUGCGAUAACGCGGCUUACUUUCAUUCGGCCUCAUAAGAGGAAUGUCUUUGCGGUUAAGAGAGUUUUUCUUUCUUCUAGUACUCCCUUAUUAGAUAUAGGAAAGCAGCGCUUUCUGAUCUGAAUCAUGAGCACUACUUAGAUUUAGAUAGAUUCUUUCAAUUGAAGGCAAGGCAUCAAAUCAAAGUUUGAUCGCUCGAAUGGGAGACAUCUGUUGCUUUAGAUUAUUAACGCUUGUUAAAGACUGCGAACAUUUCCUUCUUUCUUAUUAUUGAGAUUGAUUCCUGUUCAAUCGUUACUUUCUUUCAUAGCCUAUAUCUCCGCUCUCACAGGUUUGACUCUGCGCAUAAAGCUCUUGGUUUAUAUUAUUAGUUAGUUUCUUAUCUCGCCCAACCACAUCGAUUCUUCUUGCAGACAAGCAGGCUUUCUUGCAGAACCUUGAAGUCGAGCUACCUACGAUCACACCUUCUCUUGCAAACAUAGCACUGGAUGAAAGGUAUGCUGAUUCCAUUCAUCUGCACCCGAAAACAGCACGGAAUUCAAUAGCAAAGGGAAAUG